rnacentral:rRNA from 1 species
AGUUUGAUCAUGGCUCAGAGUGAACGCUGGCGGCAGGCCUAAUACAUGCAAGUCGAACGGCAGCACAGCAGAGCUUGCUCUGUGGGUGGCGAGUGGCGGACGGGUGAGGAAUACGUGGGAAUCUGCCCAGUCGUGGGGGGAUAAACGUAGGGAAACUUACGCUAAUACCGCAUGCGCCCUUCGGGGGAAAGCCGGGGACCUUCGGGCCUGGCGCGAUUGGAUGAGCCCACGUCGGAUUAGCUAGUUGGCGGGGUAAAGGCCCACCAAGGCGACGAUCCGUAGCUGGUCUGAGAGGAUGAUCAGCCACACUGGAACUGAGACACGGUCCAGACUCCUACGGGAGGCAGCAGUAGGGAAUAUUGGACAAUGGGCGCAAGCCUGAUCCAGCCAUGCCGCGUGAGUGAAGAAGGCCCUCGGGUUGUAAAGCUCUUUUGUCCGGAAAGAAAAGCGCCGGGUUAAUACCCUGGUGUCCUGACGGUACCGGAAGAAUAAGCACCGGCUAACUUCGUG